ACUGGACACUGAUUGUCAGGUUUGCCAUACUUGGAGUAAUCUUGAAGAGACAGAAAAGAAGAAACCACGUGAUGGAAAAUGCACGGUGGACUGCAGGCUGGUAAGGACAGUGUGACAUGACACUGAUUGUGAUAUUUUGCCAGGCUGGGACUUAAUCCAGAAGGAAGAUACUGAAGAGAAACAGAGAGGAAACGAACUGUGUUUGUUGGUGAAUUCAGGACCACAGAUGGACACUGAGAGAAGAGGACGGAACCAGUGAGAGGUGAAGCUUGACUGUAAGAAUACAGGGUAUAAUUAGAUUGAAACGAAAGUCUGAACUCAUGAUGGUGUUUAGAGAUGUCCACCAGAAAACUAAAAGAGGAGGAAAAUAAACAGAACUGGAUCAAUUCUCCACGUACAGCAGUCGGAAGGAAAAACCUAUGGGUUAAUUUGACUGGAUCUGAUAAGGCAAGUUUCUGGUUGAAUUGUUCACAGCGCCAUGUCUCCACAAACCUGACAAAGUGGGGCCCUAACUUCUGGCAGAGGACCAGGAAUGCUGUUAAUAAGGUGGGAGUUUAUAAAUUUGGGUUAGUAAAUUGGGGAAAGAAAACUGACGGCUUAAGUGGAGAAUUAUGAAGGAGUCUGACACGCUGCAAAAGCAACAUAUGCAAAUUCACAUACAUAAGCAGAAAACGCAUUAACCCUACAAAGACAAGACAAGCCCAUGAUGAUUAAUGCAUAGACAUUGAUUAAACCUGGCUUAGAACACAAAGAAAAAGAAAAACAGCUUGCUGUUUGUAUGAGUGAUAGAAUGGUGUGAAUGGUUAAUAAAAAACAUUUGAGUAUGUUGAAUCUAGGCAUGUUAAAGUGCAAAAAGUGCAAAUCGUGUGGUUUUAUUUAGAUUUUCGGUGUAUUGAGGAGGUGGAAUUAUGUGGUGAUGACUGACUGAUUCUGUCAGUUAGGUUUGGGUGGCUGUUGUUUUUGUUUUAAAUAGAGGGAGUUUUAGGAAACACGGACAUGUCCGAAAGGGGCCCAUUAUUUUUGUAACAGUGCACUCAAAGAAAACCUGUCAGGUGAUUUUGUUUUGUUUUUGUGUUUUCAGGAGCUAAUAAUCAGCUCUCUUUUUCUCAUUUUUGUUCUAAGCAGGCCUGCAACAGUGAAUAACAGCACAAAUUAUUCGGCUACCGGUGGGGAUCUGAUUAGGUCGCAAGUCCCUGUCUAAAGGAUUGUCGCGAUUCAAUCCAGUCAAAAACAUAAGGAACUAUUUUCCGAUGGAAAAUAAAAAUGAAGGAUCCCAGUUUGAAUAAAUCUGGACAAACAAUUUGCUUUUACUAGAGAAAGUUUCUGUUUUAUUGAGUGGGGUUAUAUUAUGGGAUUAUAGUAUAUUGUUGGGAGAAUCCUAAAGGUUGAAGAAGGAGAAUAGGUUUGUUUUCUUUUUGAUUUUUAGAAGUAGUGGCUAUAAUGUAGGCGUACAUCUAAAGUUAUUACAUAGAUUUAUUUUUGGGAUAAAGGGGAGAACUUAACAAGGAGAUGAUUUCUCCUAUAUACAUACUGCAUUCUGUGCCCUUAAAGGAGUUGUGGCUCAAUUCGUCUCUUGAGGGUCACGAGCCUUUGGCUGGCGCUAUGAUUGGCCAAUCUACUGUGAGGAGGAUAUGAGUCAUUGUAGGAUUGCACGCGCUUACAGACACAGAGUCCACGAGAGCAUUGAUUCCAGGCAAAAGGCCUCAAAUUCGUUUAGCUUUUAACUGAACUUAAAGACGGACCAAGGAGGAAGGAAAGCAUAGAUUUUGGUUAAGUCUGAUAAACUAGAAUUAGAAUGUAUUGUUACAUUAAAAGGAGCCAAAUGAAAUAAAAAGAGUUAUAUCAAAACAGGUUAUAACACCGGAAAUGUGAGGUAAAAGUGAAGUUAGUGUUAACACACAGGAGUUGUUUCUGGGUAGCAUUUAGCUAUGAUGAAAUUUAUGCAGGAGCAAUUGCUUAUAUGCUUAGACUCAAUUGAUUAAAGUGGAAAUGGGGUUUUGUUUCCUUUGCAGUAGAUCUCGGGACCACAAGGGAGGGUUAGAGCGAGGACACAACCUAUGGCGCUGAAUAAUAGAACAUCAUCACCAUUGCAUUAAUAAUAUAAUUUACACCACAAAUAUAAUUUAAUUUGGAGGUUUAAACAGGGUGUGUCUUUCAGAAAGACUAAGGUGCAUUCUUUUACUAAGCUCUUAGUGGGGGUUUUUGAUGAAAACAUUUAUUCAGCCUCUAGUCGGGUAAAAGGUCAGAAGGGCAACGGGUGAAUUGAUUGGGAGACCAUUUGAGGACGACACAUGCAAUGGAGUAAUAUAGGAUUAGCUCAUUAGGAUCAAACACAAUUUUCAGUAGGUAAUACUGUUAACAUAAUCAUGUCUGGUUUAGUGAGUGGGUUGAGAACUGAUACAUAGAUGACUGAAUUAGUAUUGUUUUGGGGAACGUGUUACCAGGAGCAACUAGGAUCCUGCAGCCAGAGUCGAAAUGACUGAAAUUCAAUGAGGGAAGCUAGGAGACGUUUGUUGUGUUUUAUUUUGGGGUUUUUGAACUAUGGGGAAGGUUUUACCCUGCCACCAAGUUUUAGAGUUGGUAUUUAUUUUUUACCUGUAAGAGAAAGAAUAUUCAGUGGCAAGUCCGAAGACCCGGGCUUCUGUUUAUUUAUUUUUGAUUUUGUUCUAUAUUUUGAACAGUGCACUGAUUUUUGUUUCUGGAUCUUUUCUUUAAGCAGAUCUGCACAACGGAAAUUACAAGCAUUACACGUCGGCGAGAAAAUUGUUGUAAGUGAGUUUCUCCGCAUUGAAAUGGGUUCUGGAGGAAACACUUGUGGGGACAAUUAGAAACGAGAGUCCCUCUCUAAAAGAGGAUUCAGCGAGGUAAUCCAAAUUUAAAUUCUUGUCUUCUUUUUGAGAUGACGUCAUUUUGCUGAGGGCGGACAUCUAAAUGCGGCGAUGGUUUCCACAAUCAGCAAAGAAAGAAAGAAUGGAGGAAUGGAAGAAUGAAUGGAUGAAAGACUGGAAAUAAAAACAAACUGACUGACUGGUAAAAGAUGACAAGACUUGACCAUGACUCAAGGUUAACCACCUCCACCUGGAUAGGACAAAAGGGUGGACGAAUCUAUGUGUUUCUUUCUACAGGAGCAGAAAGAUGACAGCGACAUCUGAGAUUGCACGACGAUUUAACUUUCUGUGUAUGUGAAAUUGUGUGUACACACCUGCGCAGCGUUACUAUUUACAUUUUUCUUCCCUACAGGGGUACAGUUUUUAAUGUUUUUCUAUUACAGGAUUUCUGGGCGGAUGUGUGAAGAAACGGUGUUUAUGGGUUAGGAGUCGGUGAUGCUAUUACACUGUAUUCUGGUGAGAGUGUUGGGGGAGACACACCCUGUCUUGAAAACUGUGAUUCUUGUACAGGAAAUGUUUUAUAGCACCUAUGGAAUGAGGAUGCCUGACUACGGUCAAUGUGCUGCUAAUGUUUGCUUUGCUUUGGUGAGAAGGGUGCAGUAGAAAACAGACAAGUGACAUGAAAACAAAGAGUAAUAAUAACAAAUAACAAAUUUGGGGACAGUUUAACCUAGAGCCCACUAACUGGCCAUUAGGGGUUCUCUCUCUUGAAGUAACAUUGCCCAAAAGGUGAAUAAAACAAAUUGUGGCAAUAAUAGUGAUUUAAUGAUUGGAGAAAUCUGAACAUGAUACUUGUCUGUUGUGCUGAAUAUUUUAUUACUCUUAUGAUUUGCAGGUGGUUGUAAAUAAGCUGUUUGCUUUAACAGGUUUGCUUUUUAGUUGAAUUGCAAAAUACAACUAGAACGAUUAAUUGAGACUAAUGGCAACUAACCUUAGGGUUACGUGCAUGCACGCUUACACACAUAAGCAUGGCAUAGGAUUGGAAUAAACAAAGUCAACAACAUUAGGUUAGGAGAGCCAGCGCAGGAGAGGUGUUGGUUUUCUGUCUCUUGCAGAAAAGGGAGCAGACACCAGACGGGGACACGGAGAUAUGGGGACCCUUCACAGCAACUGGGGUCAAGUGUCAUGGCCUUGGGGCUCCUUGAGAAGAUGGAUCCCAUAAUCACAGCGAUAACCAGGAAGGGGUUGGCGAAAUCUAGGAAUACCAGAGACCAACGAGGUUCGAGAGGCUUUUGGCAAAAAGGGGGACACGGCGGUGACAACGGACAACAAACCCACAGAUCUUUGUUUGAAAGUGUGGCAGAAUAAUCCCCAGAUCUGUGUAACGACUGAAGGGUGGUCUACCCCGGAGGUCGAAGAAAGAAGAAUCCGAGGGCGUUUCUUCACUCCAAGAGGAGGUGGUAAAGGGGCCUGAAGCGUGACAGGCUGAAACUCGAGUCUGAAGAUAAAAGAAUAGCUGGGUUGUGGGACAAUUGGAAAACAACGGAGGUGUUAGGGUUGAUAAGUGUCAUAACGUGUUUGUUUGGUUUGGAAAUAAAUCCUGGUGUGAGUUGGGCUGGCAAGCCAGCCCAAAGAGGAGGAAUGUGACCAGGAGAUAUUUUAUUUUGUAUUCUUAUGAUCACAGUUAUAAGCAGAAGUAUCAAUCAUUAAUCAUUUACCAUUGUUGAACCAGUUGACAGAAUAAUCUUUGAACUGCAUCUAUGUUAAUAUUAAUCUACACAGAUUAUCAGUACUUUAGUCAGUCUAUUGUUGUUCGGCAUUAUUCUUGUUAUUUGCUUAAAGCUGUUUUACAGUUCGGUAAUCACUCAGAAGCCUGUGGUCCUGCUGGACCCUGCCUUAGUUCUCUGCACGUACGCCGGCCUGUAACCACAUGCACGCACUUAUAUAACAUACGCACGUUCACAUACACAUUUAGUAAUCAUAGGAGGGUCGUCUGAGGACAGUUUUCUGAUGGAUAUACUUUCACAAAAGGCACAAAUGUAGUACACACUUGUUUUUCUCUAAAAACUAGUAGUUCAUGUCCAUAUUAGGUAAACUCUCAGAACAGGCCCAAACUGUUAUCAGUUCCAGUAAUAUCUAACUGUGAGGUCGGCUCAGGACAUGCUCUCUGUUCGAUAUACACACACAAUAGACACGAAUAGAGAUACACACCACACACACACACGGUUUCUCUGAGUGCUGGACUGAGUGGAAACAUCGGGAGGCCAUAUAGGGGAACUUUCUGAGUUCUCCCUGACUGAUACCGAUCAUGUGACUUGACGUCAUCAUUGUAAUAAAACCCUUGUGAAGAAACUGUUCGGGGGAGAUCAGCGCUUAGAGCCUUGUACUGCUCAUCUUCCCCAUAUGUACAUAUGUAUAAUAAAAUCACCUAUUCUGACAUCCACUGAGACCAUGCAGCCGUUUGUCUUUUCCUCAAAUUCGAACCAUGACACACUCCACAU
ensembl:lncRNA